UGCGGAAUAGUGUAACGGCAGCACGCCUGACUCUGACUCAGUCUGUGAGGGUUCAAAUCCUUCUUCCACAGCCA
rnacentral:tRNA from 1 species